rnacentral:rRNA from 1 species
GUAUAGUUAAGUGACUAAGCGUACACGGUGGAUGCCUAGGCAAUCAGAGGCGAAGAAGGACGUGCUAAUCUGCGAAAAGCUUGGAUGAGUUGAUAAGAAGCGUUUAAUCCAAGAUAUCCGAAUGGGGAAACCCAGUAGAUGAAGAAUCUACUAUCAUUAACUGAAUCCAUAGGUUAAUGAGGCGAACCGGGAGAACUGAAACAUCUAAGUACCCCGAGGAAAAGAAAUCAACCGAGAUUCUGUGAGUAGCGGCGAGCGAAAGCGGAGGAGCCUGUUAGUAAUAGCGACAAAGACAGAGGAAUGAGCUGGGAAGCUCAGCGAGACAGGGUGAUAGCCCCGUACUUGAAGUGUUUGUUGUGGUACUGAGCUAACGAUAAGUAAGGCGGGACACGAGAAAUCCUGUUUGAAGAUGGGGGGACCAUCCUCCAAGGCUAAAUACUCCUGAUUGACCGAUAGUGAACCAGUACUGUGAAGGAAAGGCGAAAAGAACCCCGGUGAGGGGAGUGAAAUAGAACCUGAAACCGUGUACGUACAAGCAGUGGGAGCCUGAAAGGGUGACUGCGUACCUUUUGUAUAAUGGGUCAGCGACUUAUAUUUUGUAGCGAGGUUAACUGAAUAAGGGAGCCGAAGGGAAACCGAGUCUUAACUGGGCGUUGAGUUGCAAGGUAUAGACCCGAAACCCGGUGAUCUAGCCAUGGGCAGGUUGAAGGUUGGGUAACACUAACUGGAGGACCGAACCGACUAAUGUUGAAAAAUUAGCGGAUGACUUGUGGCUGGGGGUGAAAGGCCAAUCAAACCGGGAGAUAGCUGGUUCUCCCCGAAAUCUAUUUAGGUAGAGCCUUGAGCGGACACCUUCGGGGGUAGAGCACUGUUUCGGCUAGGGGUCCAUCCCGGAUUACCAACCCGAUGCAAACUGCGAAUACCGAAGAGUGAUACUCAGGAGACACACGGCGGGUGCUAACGUUCGUCGUGGAGAGGGAAACAACCCAGACCGCCAGCUAAGGUCCCAAAGUCUAUAUUAAGUGGGAAACGAAGUGGGAAGGCUUAGACAGCUAGGAUGUUGGCUUAGAAGCAGCCAUCAUUUAAAGAAAGCGUAAUAGCUCACUAGUCGAGUCGGCCUGCGCGGAAGAUGUAACGGGGCUAAAUAUAGCACCGAAGCUGCGGCAUCAGUAGAAAUACUGUUGGGUAGGGGAGCGUUGUGUAAGCGGAUGAAGGUGAAUCGAGAGGUUUGCUGGACGUAUCACAAGUGCGAAUGCUGACAUAAGUAACGAUAAAACGAGUGAAAAACUCGUUCGCCGGAAGACCAAGGGUUCCUGUCCAACGUUAAUCGGGGCAGGGUGAGUCGGCCCCUAAGGCGAGGCUGAAAAGCGUAGUCGAUGGGAAACGGGUUAAUAUUCCCGUACUUGGAUAAACUGCGAUGUGGGGACGGAGAAGGUUAGGUUAUCGACCUGUUGGAUGGUCGUUUAAGGUGGUAGGUGGAAUGUUUAGGCAAAUCCGGACAUUCAUAACACUGAGAGCUGAUGACGAGGUGCUACGGCACUGAAGUAACUGAUACCCUGCUUCCAGGAAAAGCCACUAAGCUUCAGGUUUAUCUAAACCGUACUGAAAACCGACACAGGUGGUCAGGUAGAGAAUACUCAGGCGCUUGAGAGAACUCGGGUGAAGGAACUAGGCAAAAUAGCACCGUAACUUCGGGAGAAGGUGCGCUUACCGUAAUUGUAGUCCCUUGCGGAUGAAGGUGAAGUAAGUCGAAGAUACCAGCUGGCUGCAACUGUUUAUUAAAAACACAGCACUCUGCAAACACGAAAGUGGACGUAUAGGGUGUGAUGCCUGCCCGGUGCUGGAAGGUUAAUUGAUGGUGUUAUCGAAAGAGAAGCUCCUGAUCGAAGCCCCAGUAAACGGCGGCCGUAACUAUAACGGUCCUAAGGUAGCGAAAUUCCUUGUCGGGUAAGUUCCGACCUGCACGAAUGGCAUAAUGAUGGCCAGGCUGUCUCCACCCGAGACUCAGUGAAAUUGAAAUCGCCGUGAAGAUGCGGUGUACCCGCGGCUAGACGGAAAGACCCCGUGAACCUUUACUAUAGCUUGACACUGAACAUUGAAUUUUGAUGUGUAGGAUAGGUGGGAGACUUUGAAGAUGACACGCCAGUGUUGUUGGAGUCGUCCUUGAAAUACCACCCUUUAACGUUUGAUGUUCUAACGAAGGAUGCGAAACGCGUUCUCGGACAGUGUCUGGUGGGUAGUUUGACUGGGGCGGUCUCCUCCCAAAGAGUAACGGAGGAGCACGAAGGUUUGCUAAUGACGGUCGGACAUCGUCAGGUUAGUGCAAUGGUAUAAGCAAGCUUAACUGCGAGACAGACAAGUCGAGCAGGUGCGAAAGCAGGUCAUAGUGAUCCGGUGGUUCUGAAUGGAAGGGCCAUCGCUCAACGGAUAAAAGGUACUCCGGGGAUAACAGGCUGAUACCGCCCAAGAGUUCAUAUCGACGGCGGUGUUUGGCACCUCGAUGUCGGCUCAUCACAUCCUGGGGCUGAAGUAGGUCCCAAGGGUAUGGCUGUUCGCCAUUUAAAGUGGUACGCGAGCUGGGUUUAGAACGUCGUGAGACAGUUCGGUCCCUAUCUGCCGUGGGCGUUGGAUGAUUGAGAGGGGCUGCUCCUAGUACGAGAGGACCGGAGUGGACGCAUCACUGGUGUUCCAGUUGUCUCGCCAGAGGCAUUGCUGGGUAGCUAAAUGCGGAAGAGAUAAGUGCUGAAAGCAUCUAAGCACGAAACUUGCCUCAAGAUGAGUCAUCCCUGACUUAGAGUCAGUAAGGGUUGUUGUAGACUACGACGUAGAUAGGCUGGAUGUGUAAGUGUAGUGAUACAUUGAGCUAACCAGUACUAAUUGCCCGAGAGGCUUAACU